CGGUGCUCGAGCUGUGGUGCGUGCCGCUAAGUUGUGCGUUCCAGGGUGCACUCGCCGGCGAGGCUGCACGGCGCCGGUUUCAUUGCUAAAAUCCGACGGACUUGUUGCAGAACUCGUUUUUUUUGUCGGGAAAGGGCUUCCCCGUGUAACUUUACAGCAGUUAUCGUAGAUAAGACUUGCAAAUUACAGAUGUGGACGGUGAGGGAACGGGAAUUUCACUGAAAGCGCCUGAGAACCAGUAAGAGACCUGCAACAGCUUUGUGCUCCACUGGCGAAUGCUUCCUCCCCUAAUACACAUUAUGUGUGCUUGGAGACACAAGGAGUAAGAUACAGCCCCUCAAGGGACUCGUCAUAGGGAGAGGACACAGCUUUGGGAAUAAAGGGGCCACAAAGGAGGAGAGAGGAGUUUGCUGAAACUUCCCAAGCUCCCAUUCCAGCAGUUCCUGAAGGAUUCAUUUCUCUCUGAGGAUCUCAUGAGGUGGCUUAGCAGCUAGAAUCUCUUCCUUAACAGUGGGAAGAACAACUCCUGGAAAUUUAGGUCGACUUUGACUGGAUUUAAAAGAAAGCUGUACAAUUCCACUUCUGUAUAUACAACCAAAGGAAAUGAGAUGUGCAUACCCAUGUUCAAUGAAGCAUUAUUCACAAUAGCCAAAAUGUGGAACCAAUCCUUAAACAAAAGGAAAACAGAAAAUCUGCUCAAGUCCCUGCAGGCACCUGAGAAAAUCACAACCCACACUUGCGAACCCCUAGGAGACCUAAAGCUGUGGUUUUACAAAUAAACAGAUAAGUAACAUUCCUACUCUUUCCUAUAGGUACUCAAUCUUCUUAACAACUCCCAUCCCACACAGGUUUGCAUCCCCAGCAGAUACAUAUGGCUAUGUGGUCACCCAUUCGAUCAGCCUAUAAAAGACUUGUCUUAUUUGAUAUUGUGAAACCCAUGGUUAUCAGUGUAUAUGAAAAUGUUUGGUUCAGGGGUCAAUGUACAAUAUGACAAGCAAAGUCCUCUAAUACACAGUUAUAUAAAAUCACUCACCUGAGAGCCAAGUGGACAAUUGGCCUUAUAUUGGCUGGAGUUGGAGCCCCAGAGGGAAAAUUUGCCUAUUAUUAGGCAACUCUUCAAAACUUUACUUAUUCGUUUCUAAACACUGUCUCAUAAAAUGGGGGAUGCUUUAGAUGAAUUAAGAUUAGCACUAGAUUACUUAUUCGUUGAAAAUUAGCACUAGAUUUCUUAUUGGUUGAACAAGGAGGAGUGUGCACCAUAAUCAAUAUAACCUGCUGCAGUUAUGUAAACACCUCAGGUCACAUAGAAGAAGAUAUACAGAAAAUACAUGAACAAGCUGUGUGGUUGCGUAAAUAUAACCAAGGCACCAAUCCCAACUGUAUCUGGUCAGCCAUUAGAAGCACCCUCCUGAGUCUCACUUGGUUGUUGCCCUUCCUAGGAACUUUGAUAGUUGUCUUAUUAUUAAUCUUUGGCCCUUGCUUGUUUAAAUUCUUGGUAAAGUUUGUGUUUUUUAGAUUACAACAAUUCCACAUAAAGAUGAUACUGACACAAAGCUUCCAAUCCAUCCCGUCUUCUGAACCGGGAAAUAAAGACACCCUGCCUUUAGGUGUCUUUAGAUCUAGAUCAGGCAUCUAGAGAUUUUUACUCCUCCAAUACUUGGCAGGGUCUAUGCCCGUAGACUCAUCAGGAUACCAUGUAAAUGAGGACCUCCCUUGGUACCCCAGAGGCCAACUGUAGACCCUUAUGAGAAAAUCCUGUCCCCAAAAUGAACAUCCACUGUCAGCAGGAAGAAGUUACAGAAGACCAGCCUUUGCCCUUACGAUUAAGGGUCCUCUUGUAAGUAGAGAGGGGAAUGUUAGGAAAGCAGGAGCCUAGGUGAUCCAGAGUGACACCAUUUUAAAAUAAACUCCACCUGAAAACUAGCAAGGCAUCUGCACACAUCUGUUUAGCAAGUAUAUACUUCUGUAACUGGAAUAAAAAGCGUUAUUUUAGAAUAUGCCUAUAGUUUGUAAUAAUUAGCCGAGGGAAAAAAAGUUCACAUUGGUGUAGGAAAAGUGCCCUAAUGGUCAUGGGUAAUAAUGGGACCGUGGUUCUGGUCAGUGAUUUGAUGGAAGGGGUGUAGAUAAUAUAUUGUUGUAAAUAAUAAAAAUAAAAAAUUGUUGUAAGUAAUAAAAAUAAAAUAAUAUUGUUGUAAGUAAUAAAGUAGGAGAAAUAUUUGGUCUUUUGCUUUUGGGUUAGUGCAACAGUAGUACCAUUACUUGGAGGAGAAGUUAGAGAAGGACAAGAAUAGGCUUGAAUAAGAUGAGUGAGAAGAGAGAAAAAUUCCGUAAGUGGAGAUGGCCAGGGAACACCAGGGCAGCAGAAUCUAACUCUGAAUUUAAUGCUGUUGUCUGUUCAUAUUGCACUGCGCUGUAAUCUCCCUAUCUUUCCUAAACCAUUGGCAAAGUCUGCUAUCCACUGGGGCCUUGGGUCGGUGGUGCUUUGGGAAAUACCAGAAGAGGGAAAGUACGGCAAAUGUGCAGUGUCACAGAUGAUAGGAGGAAAGCUGGCCAGUGGGAUGAUUAAAACAAUUUCGGUGGGAGUGGGAAUUCAGACCAUGUAAAUGGUCUGAAUUAAGAAAAUUUCAAGAAACAAAAAAUGUUUCUAAUGAGCCAAAGUGAAAGCUCUUCAUGAUUUCUUUAUAGAGGCUCUCUAGUGCUUGUCCUAAUUUCCUGAAAUCUCAUGGGUAUCUUACUCUCCUGGUGCCCGCCUCAAACAUUCACUGUAGCAAUUAUAUGAGCAGCCUAGAGAAUCCCAAUCCCAGUGGUCUUGCUCCCUGGAUCUACUUUCUCUUAAAAAUCAUUCCCCUAAGUUUCCGUCACUUGGUUGAAGUUUAGUAGAUAUCUCCACAUCUCCAGCUAGAACAGCACCAGAAUUUCAGGACUAGGGCAAUAGAGUCUGAUAUUAAAUUCUAUUUCUAUCUAUCUAUCUAUCAUCUAUCUAUCUAUCUAUCUAUCUAUCUAUCUAUCUAUCUAUCUAUCUACAGAACAAUUUGUGGGAUAGUAGCUUUGGGGUCCCAGAUCUAGGAUGGGCCUGGUCCUCCAUGCUGGUUCUCCUGGGUGAUAUUUCUGUUAGUUUGAACAGUAAUCACACUUUUAUUACUGUUUCAUCUUUUUUUUUUCACUCUUAGACUGAUUUUAUCAUGUGUAUAAAACAUACACACACCUACAUCUCAAGGAUAAACAUUAAUCCUUGAAAAAUAUGUGGUCUAAAACUAUAUUGAGGAGAGAAAGAUAGGACACUUUAAUUGCCACAUGAUUAACACGAGGUCACCACACAGCUUUCACAAAUCUACAAGUCAUUCUAUUUAGGCUGAGUCAAGUUCUCCCUUGGGCCAGCCAGAGCACAAAUAAUGGAGCAAUGUGACUCUUCAAUGACAGAUCUCUGAUUUCCAGAAAAGAGACUUUGAAAUACCCAAUUCUAGUAAAUAUGCAAUUAAAUUUCCAGCUAAAUGACCUUUGCUCCUGUAGUCUUCAUCUUGGGGAAGGGAAAGAAGUCUUAUUCUGUUUAAUAGUUUGAUUUUUAUAAUAGGGUUUGUCUCUGUUAUAAAUCUUGUUUGAUAUUUAAAAUGUUAGCUAAGAGAAAACUUCUGUUUGUUUUUAUUUAGUGGGAAGAAACUAACCCUCAUUGAGUGCCUAGUUAACAUCAGGCACUUUGUACACAUAAUCAAUUGAAUCUUGACCACAACCCUGUGAGGUGAAAAAUGAGAAGAUUAAAUAAGCCAUGGGAAGAUUUUUUAAAAUGACAUGAAACUCCAAGGGUAAAAAGUAGGCUGGGAAAUCUUAGGAUGGUGAACCAUCAUGUUUCCUGAAUGUGAAUCCUGUACCUGGUUUGACUGUAGUCACCCCUUCUCCAACACUCUCCACGAUGCCGGCUGCCUCAUGGCCUAAAAUCACAGGAAGUGGGGUCACCAUGGUACCACUAACCACGUGGUCAUCUGUGCCACAGAUUCCUACAGCCACCAUCUACAGAGUGAAGAGAAGAUGUUUAUAAAAGAUUGUGAGUCUCAGGAUGUUCAACAUGAUCAAUGCCAAAUAAAUAUCAGAAUACUUGGAAGUAAAGUACUAAUAGUAGGAGUUCCUGAUUAUCAGGUGCCUAUGAUGUGACAGGCACAUUGUGGCCUGUGCUCGACCAGGAGACUGGUGAGUCCUUGUGGAUUUCUUCCCUGCUCAAGUGCAUAAAGCAGGUGUAUUGCAUAGCUUUUCCAGGCUGAGAUCAAAGACGGAGAUGUGCCUACCCGCAGAUCCUAGAUGGCCAUGUUUGCAACAGAGGUAAUGAUGAGCAGUGCGAAGAUGUGACUCCAAAGCCUGGAGAAGGACAGACCAGCAUCCCUGCAAGAGAUCCAACUGUCUUCUUUUCCGCAGAGGUCCAUAAUUUACAUGGGCCUGACAAAGAAUACUGUAACUUGCAGAAAUUAUCUUCAGUUCAAAUCCUUCAUUUUGGGGGUUAAAUAACUUGCCCAAGAUGUCGAGGGAGCGGAAAUACUUGCUGGUCUUGCAGCGGCUGUGGAGCCUGGAAUCCUGCCAAGAAGAGCAUGUGUGAGAGAUCAAAAUGUUUGCUUACAUUCCUCCUGUGAAGGGAGUUGGGAAAUAACCUAAGAAGCCCAAUCCAAAAACAAAGAUGUACCAUCCAGUCUUCUCUGUGAGAACCAAACUACAAACCAUCUGAAUGUUCCAAAAGUGUUUUGAUGAUGUAUUGAUGUAUUUUAAAUUAUCCUGAAAAUGUUCUUGGCAGAUGCUUAAACAUGUAAUUACUGAGAUGAUGUAGAAAUACCAAGUGUUUAUUAAAACAAUACAGAGUAAUACAAAUGGUAUGUUUGUCGCAAUAUAAAAGUAUCUAAAAAUUAAAGAGUUCUUUAAUGGUGGAGAUUGUUUUCCUUUUUGAAGUUAAAAUAUAAAUUUUUGUAAAAAGCACAAAUUAUUACUAUUUAUAGCUAACAUUUAUGGAGUGCUGACUAUGCUCAUUUUUGAGCAUACAUUGCCUCAUUUAGUGCAAUGUUUAGCAUUAACUUAUGAGGUAAAUGCCAUUGCCAUGCACAUUGUACAGAUGAAGACAUUGAGGUUUAGAGAGAUUGCAU
rnacentral:lncRNA from 1 species